rnacentral:lncRNA from 1 species
CUGUGGGUGGUCUACCCUCAGCUCAGACAUGCAGGGGGUGAGCGGGAAGCCACAGAGAACUCCUCAGGACCGGAGGUCGGCCUGCACUGGCACAGUGUCCAGGUUGGAGCCAGGCCCCAUCGCAUGGGAGCCGCAGAACUGUGGUCCCAAGGUGGAGCUGAGCUCUGGAGACUCCCUGCAAGGAUGGGAGAUUUAAGGAGAUGAGGGGCUGGUGUGGGGGCUGAGGGCAGGCAGCCCUGAGUGGCCAGCACCACGGCAGCAGCAGCCUCCUUGCUCCUGACAUGGGGGCAGGGGGGUAGGGGGCUCCGUGCUGACCUCCAGGUCUCAUGAACCAUCCUCAGCAAAGGUGCCCAACCUCCUGCCAGCAUCCUGACGUGUCUGGUCAGGGAGGGAGCUCAGUUCAUCACCUCCUGCAUUUAUUCUGCUGGCUCAGUACACAAGCAAGGCCUGAGCUUGUCCAUCGACCUCUGUGUGGCUCCGUGGCUCCAUGGCUCCAUGGUCAGUGGCUCCAUGGCUCCGUGGCUCCAUGGCUCCGUGGUCGGUGGCUCCAUGGCCCGUGGUCAGUGAUCCAUGGCCAGGCACGGCCGAGGGUGUCAGUGGGGCUGUUCUGUCCCAGUGUGGACACCAUUCUGCUCCAGCUCCCACAGCUGAGCAGCAGGGAGGCAAGGAUGCAGGUAGAGGGCUAGGGGUGGGUCCACUCGAUGCAGACCUCAGACCCCUGGUCCCGGACCCCACAGGGGGCUAUCUGGGCCUCAGUCCCCUCUCUCCUCUUCCCUAAUUGUCCCAUCUCCCAGGGCAGGCUGCAGGCCUGGCAGCAGGGGGCCGGGCAGGGGCACGGGGCCCAUGAGCCCCCACACCGUGGACUUCGUACCAGUGGCACCGGCAGCGCGAAAGGGUCCGGCAGGAGAGUGGAGAGCGCUCGGGGCAUCGCCAGGUGCGGGCUCAGCCGGGGCAGCGGGCUCAGGGCUGACACCAGCACCUUCCGCACCAGCACAGACGCCAUGCUGCUGCGGCCCACCCUGCGGAGGGCAGAGCGGCAACAGGUAAGGCCUCCCCGCUCCAUGAGGAGCUUCACCACCCGGGGCCUCCCUUAUCCCCACCCCCACCCCCGGGGAGCCUCCGCUCCACCCUCACCCCUACCCCCACCCCGACUCCGUGAGCCCCCUGCACCACCCUCACCCCUACCCCGUGAGCCCCCUGCUCCACC